rnacentral:snRNA from 1 species
CUCCUCUUGGCAGCACAUUUACUAAAACUGUGAAGAUUAGAAUGGCCCCUGGGCAAGGACAACACACAAAUUUGUGAAGCUGUAUGGUGUGUG